UUAGGCAUUUCUUUUGGAAAUUUGGAGGAAUUUGAGGGUUAUUGAUGUCUUUUCAAGUAUUUACUAACUUUCGUAUGGGAAGUUAUCUUUCCUUGCUUGUGGAUUCUUCUUUCCUUCUUCCAUUGAAGUUCGGAGUCACCCCCAAAAGAAAAGGGCCCAAAAAAAAAAAAAAAAGAAGGAAGAAAAGAAAAAGAACUUUGGAAUCUGCUUCAAGUUUAUCUAGGUUAUCUGAGAUGGGUUGGACAAAGAAAUGGGAAAAGAUGGAGUUUUUGAAAGAGUAAUAAGAGAGAAGAAAGAUGAAGAGAGAGAGAGAGAGAGAGAGAGAGAGAGAGAGAGAGUUUGGAGAGAAAAAACAGCACCAUCCACUCACAUAUCAAAAAGGGCAUCGGGUUCUCUUUCUAUACAAAAAAGUAGGUGCCGAGUCAUUGUUGAUUUGAUAGAUGAUUCUUCAUUUUUGAAUGUUACAUUGUUCGGAAAUCAAUCUGAAAAAUUUCUUGGUUGCACUGCAUAUGAGUUGAUGAAUAACUCUGAUGGGGUGAGGCAGAUCCAAUAGUGCUGAAUGUUGAAAAUAUUUAGAGUUUGAUGAAGGUAGGAAGUAGCUUGCCAAGCUUAAAGACAAUGCUUAGUUUGUCAUCACAAGAACAAUCUUUUUGUUAAUGUUGACAUGAUAGAUUACUAUCAGUUCAUAAGUAGAUUAUUAUCAGCCUUUUGUGAACUCAUAGCACAUUUUGACUAUAUUAUGAUAGUAACACUAACAUUAUUAUUUUGUACAUUGCAA